rfam:Myotis lucifugus cont2.45285, whole genome shotgun sequence.
GCUGGUGUGGCUCAGUGGGUAGAGCGCCAGCCUGUGGGCUGAAGGAUCCAGGUUCGAUUCCAGUCAAGGGCA